GCCUAAGUACUGUGUUCAUUGACUGUUUCUUUCUAGGGGGUGGACCACCUGCAAAGCGGCUGUCCCAGGUGGCCGACACUGUCUUUCAAGUCCUGGGACACUCUGAGGUCAGUGUCACCGGGCUGCCAACAGGCAUUGACACGUCAAUGAUGCAGGCCCUUGAAAUGCAGCAAAGCAUUGAGCCAUCACAAGAACCGGGCCCAUCAAGUUUGCCGCCUGAACCAUCUGCAGCUGCUACUCAGGAUAGCCCGGCGGAUCAAACACCAUUCCCAUCCGCAGCACCUGCUCCGUCAGCAUCCCUGCAGGAGAGAAGAUUGCAACUCACAAUUGAUGUGUUUGAACAACAAAAAAAAGUCCUUUCCCUUCAGGAGGAGUACUACCGCCUUAAAAUUGAACACCUAAAAAAUAAACCAUUUAGAGAUUG